rnacentral:rRNA from 1 species
ACUCCUACGGGAGGCAGCAGUGAGGAAUAUUGGACAAUGGGCGAGGGCCUGAUCCAGCCAUGCCGCGUGCAGGAAGAAUGCCCUAUGGGUAGUAAACUGCUUUUAUACGGGAAGAAAAGGGGCACGUGUGCCCUGUUGACGGUACCGUAAGAAUAAGGACCGGCUAACUCCGUGCCAGCAGCCGCGGUAAUACGGAGGGUCCGAGCGUUAUCCGGAAUUACUGGGCGUAAAGCGCGUGUAGGUGGCUUGUUAAGCCAGAUGUGAAAGCCCCGGGCUCAACCUGGGAACUGCAUUUGGAACUGGCAGGCUAGAGUUUUGUAGAGGGUGGUAGAAUUUCAGGUGUAGCGGUGAAAUGCGUAGAGAUCUGAAGGAAUACCGGUGGCGAAGGCGACCACCUGGCCAAUAACUGACACUGAGACGCGAAGGCGUGGGUAGCAAACGGGAUUAGAUACCCUGGUAGGAUAGCG